AGUUUAAAACACAGAUUCAUUUUAGUUUUAGACUUUUAGUAGUGACAACUGAGUGACUGACAAGUGAGUAGCAAUGGCGAGGAGCAGCAAAAUGAGUUUCCUCCAACGCCUUCUUCACGGUCCCUCCAAAUCCCCAUUUCUCACACCACCAUCACCACACUAUUCAACCUCUUAUUCUUAUUGUUCAAAGCAAGAAAGUUCCCAUCCCCAAACACGUCCUUAUCCUCCUCUAACACAACAACAACUCUCCAAUCUCAACCACCUCCUCCCCCGCCUCCUCUCUCAACCGGACCACCUCCCCACCGCCCUCCGCCUCACCUCCGCCGUCCUCCACACCACUACUCCUCUCCACGCUCUCCCUCUCUCCCCACUUAUUCACUCCCUCACCUCCCACCCGGACACCUCCCCUACCUUCUCCCUCCUCACGCGCCUUCGCCACGCGCCUCAAAUCCACCACCACAUUUCCCCAAUCGCCCUCAUGCUCCUCACUUCCUACUUCAACAACCGCAUGUGCAAGCCCGCCCUCGCCGUCUUCCGCUGGCUCCGCCGCCCUGACUCCCCCUCCCCCCCGACCAGGCAGGUCUACGAGGUCGUCGUCGAAGGUCUUUGCAGGAACGGAUUCGUGUUCGAGGGUUUAUCGGCGGCGAGGGACAUGGUGGUGGCUGGCGAGGGGGUGGCUUCUUCUUGUGGCGGCUUGAGGGAGUGGAUUUAUCGGGGGAUGUUGAAGGAGGCGAGGGUGGAGGAUGCGGUGGAGUUGAACGAUGCAAUUUUGGGAUUCGAGAAAUGCGGCGGCAGUGAUGAUGAGGAAGAAUCUAAGGAGAGGGUUUUGGCGGUGCUGGAACGCGUCAUUGCUCGGUGGAAUGAGUAGAAACAGUUCAUUGUUUGAAAAGAAACAAACUAAAGAAGCAUCAAAGUGGUAAAGAAUGGACUUUGAAAUGUGAAGGAAAAACCAAUUGGAGAUAUUGAUCCUUCAACUAAGAAUACAUAACCGGCUAAACUGGCAGCUGCAACAACUGCUAUCACCAAAAAUGCGAGGAACCGCCCAAAUCUUGAUCCACUUCUUUCUGCAUUGUUAACAGGUCCAAAAGCUGUAAAAUAAGGCAAGGCAAGUCUCAGCAACACCAUGAAAAAACUGGAAUAUCUCUUUGAUUAUCACAGAUAAAACAUGUAAGAAAACAAGUUUCCUCUUAAAUAGGGAAUGGAGAUCAUGUAAUGAGUUUCUUCUUUUCUUGUUCUUCAGUAGUAUGUUCACUCUAUUAUGUAUUAACCGUGGACCCCCUGGAUUAGAUGUUUGAGCUUUGAAUAUUUUACUAAUAUUGACAUACGAAUGUUUUGUAUUAUUAUAGAGCAAAACAGGACACCGAAAAAAAAAAGAGAAAAAA